rnacentral:lncRNA from 1 species
GCCGGCUGCGGGCCUCAGGCGAUGGGGCGACGAAGCGAUCGGUGGGCCCUGCACCCCCGCGGGCCGCGCUGGGCUCGGAAGGGGAAUCAAUCACACGACUGCCGAGAUGUGCCCUCGACUAUCCGCUCUGCAGGCCUCGCCUCCCGGCUCUGACGAUGUCCUCAAACCUUCUGGAAAGAGGGGACAGGCUCCCUGCCUCUCCUUUCUCCAGCCCUGGAGACAGAGCCCCUUGUAGGAUCCCAGACCCCCACUGGCUCAAGAGAGGCACACAGCAGAAGGGCCACUGUGGAAUGAACCACCCUCACCAACUCCAACUUGGAAGCAGAAACCUUCCCUUCCUGUCAUCGCCAGCAGGCAGCACCUGA